rnacentral:rRNA from 1 species
CGAACGGGCGAGUAAUACAUCGGAACGUGUCCGCUCGUGGGGGACAACCAGCCGAAAGGUUGGCUAAUACCGCAUGAGUUCUACGGAAGAAAGAGGGGGACCCGCAAGGGCCUCUCGCGAGCGGAGCGGCCGAUGACUGAUUAGCCGGUUGGUGAGGUAACGGCUCACCAAAGCAACGAUCAGUAGCUGGUCUGAGAGGACGACCAGCCACACUGGGACUGAGACACGGCCCAGACUCCUACGGGAGGCAGCAG